CCUACGGGGGGCUGCAGUGAGGAAUAUUGGUCAAUGGGCGCAAGCCUGAACCAGCCAUCCCGCGUGAAGGAUGAAGGUCCUAUGGAUUGUAAACUUCUUUUAUACACCAAGAAAAACACCCACGUGUGGGUGCCCGACGGUAGUGUAUGAAUAAGCAUCGGCUAACUCCGUGCCAGCAGCCGCGGUAAUACGGAGGAUGCAAGCGUUAUCCGGAUUCAUUGGGUUUAAAGGGUGCGUAGGCGGCUUUUUAAGUCAGUGGUGAAAUCCUGCCGCUUAACGGUAGAAUUGCCAUUGAUACUGAAAAGCUUGAGUACAAUUGAGGUAAGCGGAAUGUGUAGUGUAGCGGUGAAAUGCUUAGAUAUUACACAGAACACCAAUUGCGAAGGCAGCUUACUAAACUGUUACUGACGCUGAUGCACGAAAGCGUGGGGAGCGAACAGGAUUAGAUACCCUUGUAGUC
rnacentral:rRNA from 1 species